CUUGAUCAAGAUAGUGUGAAGCUGUUGAGAAUUUGUAGUUGUCCUCCAUUGAUGAAGCUUUGUUGAAUUUUUUUUUUUGUGGAAAAUCUAGAAAUUUGUUGAAUUUCCCAAUUUCCUUUUUUUUUUUGGGAAACUAGAAAUUUGAAAAUGUAGGAGAGACAACAUAUACAAAUUUUGCUUCCACACUGUUGAGCAAGAGAUUGUGAUGCUAGCCACACCUUGUAGUAGUCGAAGGUUUGGAUGAACCAUAUACAUUGAAUUUGCUUCGAACUGUCUUGAACAAAAGUGUGAAGUUUUUAAGGAUUGUGGUUGAACUCCUUUGAUGAAACUCUUAUUGGCACCAUAAAUUGGUUUUGCUUCACACUGUCUUGAUCAAGAGUGUGUGAAGCUUUUGAGAAUUGUGGUUAAACUCCAUUGAUGAAGCUCUUGUUGGCACCAUAAAUUGGUUUUGCUUCACUCUGUCUUGAUCAAGAGUGUGUGAAGCUUUUGAGAAUUAUGGUUGAACUCCUUUGAUGAAGCUCUUAUUGGCACCAUAAAUUGGUUUUGCUUCACACUGUCUUGAUUAAGAGUGUGUGAAGCUUUUGAGAAUUGUGGUUGCCCUUCAUUGAUGAAGCUCUCGUUGGCACCAUAAAUUGGUUUUGCUUCACACUAUCUUGAUCAAGAGUGUGUGAAGCUUUUGAGAAUUGUGGUUGAACUCCUUUGAUGAAGCUCUUAUUGGCACCAUAAAUUGGUUUUGCUUCACACUAUCUUAAUCAAGAGUGUGAAGCUUUCUACAAGUUGUAGUGUCUGCAUUGUUACAGAGGAUAAA
rnacentral:lncRNA from 1 species